UCUCUUCAGGCCUUUUCCAGCCAUGAGCUGC
rnacentral:piRNA from 1 species